AUGAUCCAGUGCUGCACGUUCAGUCGGGCCGCCAUGGCCGUUCUUUUCCUUUGUUGCGAAGGCACGGCACGGCAUGGCGCACGAGGGGCAGUCGCACGCGGAGAUCCCAGAUAUACCACAUGUCUGCUGGCGUACUGUAUCUCGAUCAGCUGCACCGCACCGCACUCCUCGCUUUCCCCUUUCCCCCGAUCCUUACAAAAAGUAAACGCGCCAGCCGCCAGGCCCAGAGAACCUUCGCCCCAUCGCCACUACCUCCGAUUGAUUCUCCCCCGCCACCGCCCGCCGCCCACCGCACCGCAUCAUUCCUCCUCAUCCGUCGCCAAUCCGCAUAAGGCUCCCGCGCCGGCGCCGGCGGGGUACCCGACGCACGGCGGCCAGGCCGCGCGCCCGCAGUCCACGGCCGUCGCCGUCACGGCGGCCAGCAACGGCGCCGGCAACCCCUACGUGCAAGUCACCCCGGCCAGCGCGUCCCCGUCCACCUGCCAGUCCAUCAUGAAGGCGCUGGGGCGGUACGGGAAGCUGCUGGAGGACGGCACCCGCAAGGCCGCCGACACCACCGGCAACAUCUGGAACCACCUCCGGACGGCGCCGAACAUGGCGGACGCGGCGGUGGCGCGGCUGGCGCAGGGGACCAAGGUGUACGCGGAGGGCGGGCACGAGCGGGUGUUCCACCAGGUGUUCGGCGGCGUGCCGGGGGAGCAGCUCCGCAAGGCCUACGCCUGCUACCUCUCCACCUCCUCCGGCCCCGUCAUCGGCACGCUCUACCUCUCCACCGCCCGCCUCGCCUUCUGCAGCGACUCGCCCGUCUCCUACCACGCCCCCUCCCCCACCCAGCCGCCCGAGCCCAUGUACUACAAGGUGGUGCUUCCGCUGAACCAGGUGAGGACGGUGAGCCCGUCGGCCAGCAUGUGGAGGCCGUCGGAGCGGUACAUCCAGGUGGCCACCACCGACAGCCACGAGUUCUGGUUCAUGGGCUUCGUCUCCUACGACAAGGCGCUCAAGCACCUCUCCGACGCCCUGCAGCGCCGUCCCUGA
rnacentral:rRNA from 1 species